rnacentral:lncRNA from 1 species
GAAGCUGCAACAUCUACCGACUUCCAAGACAUCAACAUUGAAAUUUGGAAGUUGAGAGUUUCAUAUCCCAAAUCCAUGCUAUACCACGGAAGUCGCAGCUAUAGAUGUUGGUCAUAGAUGAUUUUUCCAGCAAUCAAACACGCCUUUUGUUAUUAUUAGCACAUAAACUCCAAGAGAAACCAAUAUUUGAUAUGUGGAUCGAGAGAAAAGAUUUGAUUCUUCUCCAGCCGAUUUGACUGGAAAAAGGGCGCUGAUGUAAUUUUUUGAAUGCCAAAACCCUCAAAGGAAUUUUGGAUAUUUGAAAUAAAAAAAAAUUAUGGAUUUUUUUUAUAUGGUUUCUGUCUCUAAAAUGUUAAUAUACUUUCUCUUCCUAGCUCAAAUUUCGAAAUUGUUUUUUGAGAUAUAAAAUUGUCACGUGCUUUCUUUCUUCAAAAUUUAAUAUAUUUUCUCUCUCUAAAAUGUUAAGAUACUCUCUCUCUAAAACUUUAAAUUUGAUAUAGUUUCCUCUUUAAUAAUUUUGAGAUAGUUUGUCUCUCUAAAUUUUUUGAGGUAGUUUCUCUUUCUAAAAUAUGAUAUAGUUGUUCUCUCUAAAAUUCUAAAAUACUAAAAUUUAAAAUUUAAGAUAAUUUCUAUCUAAAUUUUUUGAAAUAGUUUCUUUCCAAAAAAAUUUAAGUAUUCUCUCUUUCUCUCUCAAAUUUGAUAUGGUUACUCUCUUAAAUUUUAAGAUGCUUUUCUCUCGAAAACUUAAAAUUUGAGAUAUUUUCUCACUCUAAAAUUUUG